ACACGACUACAUUAGAUACCCGCGUAGUCCUAGCCGUAAACGAUACUCGCUAGGUGUCGGCCACGGUGCGACCGUUGUCGGUGCCGUAGGGAAGCCGUGAAGCGAGCCACCUGGGAAGUACGGCCGCAAGGCUGAAACUUAAAGGAAUUGGCGGGGAGCACAACAACGGGUGGAGCUUGCGGUUUAAUUGGACUCAACGCCGGAAACUCAUCGGGAGCGACAGCAGUAUGAUUGCCAGGUUGAUGACCUUGCUUGACAAGCUG
rnacentral:rRNA from 1 species